UAAAAUGAAAAUUGAUGUUAUCCUGUGC
rnacentral:sRNA from 1 species